GUUGAGUCCUCCUUACAGGGCGAGUUCUCUGACAAGGAAGUUUUGCAACCUAAUUUACAGCUGGAGCCAAGCUUGUCAGUGAGUGCCAGAGGGAAACUGUCGCAAUCGGCUGGCUAAGUAUAUUCAUUUAACAAGGGAAGUCUCAGAGGAGCUAUCAAAAACUGCUUGCCAUCUUUCCAAAUCAUCUCUGUCUGCAGUGGCCAUGUCUUAAUCCUGAAGGACAACAAGGAAACUGGGGAGGGAAUCAUGUUCCAGCAGUGAAGAACAAAGGCAGUUGUUUGGAGAUUUACAUAUUCCAUCUCCUACAAAGUUAAAAAAAGUUUUCUUUUCCUGAAAGACUACAAUCAAGCUACAAACAUGCAUAAUGG
rnacentral:lncRNA from 1 species